UAGGGAAUCUUCCACAAUGGACGCAAGUCUGAUGGAGCAACGCCGCGUGAGUGAAGAAGGUUUUCGGAUCGUAAAGCUCUGUUGUUGGUGAAGAAGGAUAGAGGUAGUAACUGGCCUUUAUUUGACGGUAAUCAACCAGAAAGUCACGGCUAACUACGUGCCAGCAGCCGCGGUAAUACGUAGGUGGCAAGCGUUGUCCGGAUUUAUUGGGCGUAAAGCGAGCGCAGGCGGAAGAAUAAGUCUGAUGUGAAAGCCCUCGGCUUAACCGAGGAACUGCAUCGGAAACUGUUUUUCUUGAGUGCAGAAGAGGAGAGUGGAAUUCCAUGUGUAGCGGUGGAAUGCGUAGAUAUAUGGAAGAACACCAGUGGCGAAGGCGACUCUCUGGUCUGCAACUGACGCUGAGGCUCGAAAGCAUGGGGUAGCGAACAGGAUUAGAUACC
rnacentral:rRNA from 1 species